UUAGGAAUAUUCGUCAAUGGGGGAAACCCUGAACGAGCAAUGCCGCGUGAAGGAUGACGGUCCUAUGGAUUGUAAACUUCUGUUGUUAGGGAAGAACGACCAGUAUAGGAAAUGAUACUGGAGUGACGGUACCUUUCAAGAAAGCUCCGGCUAACUACGUGCCAGCAGCCGCGGUAAUACGUAGGGAGCGAGCGUUAUCCGGAUUUAUUGGGUGUAAAGGGUGCGUAGGCGGUUUAUUAAGUCUGUUGUUUAAGUCCGAAGCUUAACUUCGGUUCGCAAUGGAAACUGAUUUACUUGAGUAUAGUAGAGGCAAGUGGAAUUUCUAGUGUAGCGGUUAAAUGCGUAGAUAUUAGAAGGAACACCAGUGGCGAAGGCGACUUGCUGGGCUAUUACUGACGCUGAGGCACGAAAGCGUGGGGAGCAAAUAGG
rnacentral:rRNA from 1 species